AACGAACGCUGGCGGCAUGCCUAACACAUGCAAGUCGAACGAGACCUUCGGGUCUAGUGGCGCACGGGUGCGUAACGCGUGGGAACCUGCCCUUAGGUUCGGAAUAACUCCCCGAAAGGGGUGCUAAUACCGGAUAAUGUCUUCGGACCAAAGAUUUAUCGCCUUUGGAUGGGCCCGCGUUGGAUUAGCUAGUUGGUAGGGUAAAAGCCUACCAAGGCGACGAUCCAUAGCUGGUCUGAGAGGAUGAUCAGCCACACUGGGAGUGAGACACGGCCCAGACUCCUACGGGAGGCAGCAGUGGGGAAUAUUGGACAAUGGGCGAGAGCCUGAUCCAGCAAUGCCGCGUGAGUGAUGAAGGCCUUAGGGUUGUAAAGCUCUUUUACCCGGGAUGAUAAUGACAGUACCGGGAGAAUAAGCUCCGGCUAACUCCGUG
rnacentral:rRNA from 1 species